rnacentral:pre_miRNA from 1 species
GAGAUACCCCCUCCGUUCCGAAUUAUUUGUCGUAGGUAUGGAUGUAUUUAGAUGUAUUUUAGUUCUAGAUACAUCUAUUUAUGUGACAAGUAAUUUGGAACGGAAGGAGUACUCA